AAAAGAUUCUAGCACACGCUAAUUUAACAACCCUGCUACAUCGUCUUUUUUUUUUUUUUUUCCCCCUUCUGCUUCCAGGAUAAUUAAAAGAGAAACCUGUAAAGGCAACAUUCCUUCAAGCAAGUUGGUGCUGCAACGUGCUGAUGAUUUUCACAAGAUACUGGGAUGGCCGAUCACCAGGGUAUGCUUAAGUAUUCACAGACUGCUGUCAGCAGAGCAGAGCUGAGUGUCCAGCAGAAGCCCCGGGGCCACCUCGGCAAGGGGUCCUCAACACACCUCAGGCUCAUCCCACUUCCAAACUCAGACCUGGUGGCACCAACCAAGACAUGAUCUUCCCAGAUCUCUCCAGGCACAGCCAGACCCCUUCCACAGCCCAAGAGCUGGCCUCUGAUAUAUAGAAAGACAUUGAUCCAGGAUGCUUUCACCAUGUAAGUUCCAAACAAAUUUGGCCUGUUCAAGUGGACCAAGAGCAGAUGAUAUUGCAGAUGAACUGCAAGACAGCUGGAGGACUGAAGUGAGAGCCUGCAUCCAGAAGGACUGUGAGGAUUAACCUAAAGUCAGCUGACAGCAGUCUGGGUUUACCAUAAGUUCUUGGCCUAUGAAUGUGGAAAGAAAAAAAAAAAAAAAGCCAGAAAAUCAACUUCUAAGUGCUGGACAAUGCUAGAGCUGCUACAAGCACCCAUUGUGGUAGGGGACAAAGCCCCAAGACCCUUCAGGAACUUUGUACACUGAAACUUUUUCCAGUAUUUUGGGCUAUACUUCAAUCACUAGGAAAGAUGGGGUAGCCUGUCUCCUCUUCCAAUGACUACUAUGGGUAGGAAUUAUAUGUAUGUUCUCUGAAACAGGCCAUGCGACUGUUAUUUUUCCCUCAGUGAUGUAAUACCCUUGUGAGCAUAAUCAUUCCUGGUUCUUAGUGUUCUCACAUUAGGCCAAUUGACCAAGAUCUACUGUUUAUGAAAAAUAAAUGUG